CCCGGAAGUAGCGUUGCGCGCGCAGAGGAUGGGCGCUGAGCAGCACACAGCCCGCGGCGGGGUCUCAGGAUCCGCGGCGCUGCCCGGGGCCGGGGGAAGGAAGCCAGCCGAGGAGACGCACGUGCCCUGAGUCCGGGAGCGGGGAGCCUCUUCAUCUCUCCAUCCUCCCUCCGCGCGCGCCCUCAGCCGUCCUCGUCCGCUCACCAUGCACCUCCCCCCCAAGAAAGGACCACAUGCGUGCCAGGGACGUGAGCCCCGGCCACAGGGACAUAGCAGCCUAGAAGGUAUACCAGGAACACUUAAUCAACAUCCUGCAUGGUUCCAGCAAAGACGUUAAGACAGUUGGGACUGUUGGUGAGGACAGAUGAUCUUCACAAACCCUCUGACUCUAAGAGCCUGGGAGACCUGCUGGAGUUUACCCCACAUUCCCUUAAUUAAAAAGCCAUUAAAAUAGUCAACUUUGCUGGGCACGGUGGCUCGCGUCUGUAAUUCCAGCAAUUUGGGAGGUCAAGGCAGGAGGAUUGCUUGAGCCCAAGAGUUAAGACCAGCCUGGGCAACAUGGUGAGAGCCCAUCUCUACAAAAAAUUCAAAAAAUUAGCAAGGCAUGGUGGUGCACACCUGUGGUCCCAGCUACUUGGGAGGCUGAGGUUGCAGUAAGCCGAGACUGAGCCACUGCACUCCAACCUGGGCAACAGAGUGAGACCCUGUCUCAAUAAUAAUAAUCCCUUUAGCAGGCUU
rnacentral:lncRNA from 1 species